AAAAUUCCUAAAAUUUAACACUUCUUUCGAUUCGAUUGGGACCUUUAAACCUUCUUAAUUCAGCACUGGAACUUUAACAUUCAUAUCAAUUUUAUUGCUGACAGGAACCCUUCAAAUUGGAAUUUUUUAACCAUGAUACAGACAUCAGCAUGGCUGUUUUAAUACUAGGUGACCAAUAACACAAUGUUAGACUAUUAGAAAGCAUUUUUGUUUUAAUAAGAUGUCCACAUGGCUUUUAAUACAUGGUGAUUGCCAGCUUUACAAUUAAAAAGACAAUCAAAUGAUAU
rnacentral:misc_RNA from 1 species